rnacentral:rRNA from 1 species
UACGUAGGGAGCAAGCGUUGUCCGGAAUCAUUGGGCGUAAAGCGCGCGUAGGUGGCCCUGUAAGUCCGCUCUGAAAGUCGAAGGCUCAACCUUCGAAAGCGGGUGGAUACUGCAGGGCUAGAGUCCGGAAGAGGCGAGUGGAAUUCCUGGUGUAGCGGUGAAAUGCGCAGAUAUCAGGAGGAACACCGGUGGCGAAGGCGGAUCUCUGGGCCUUACCUGACGCUCAGGCACGAAAGCUAGGGGAGCGAACAGG